rnacentral:rRNA from 1 species
UAUUAGUUGCCAGCAUUUAGUUGGGCACUCUAAUGAGACUGCCGGUGAUAAACCGGAGGAAGGUGGGGACGACGUCAGAUCAUCAUGCCCCUUAUGACCUGGGCAACACACGUGCUACAAUGGGAAGUACAACGAGUCGCAAACCGGCGACGGUAAGCUAAUCUCUUAAAACUUCUCUCAGUUCGGACUGGAGUCUGCAACUCGACUCCACGAAGGCGGAAUCGCUAGUAAUCGCGAAUCAGCAUGUCGCGGUGAAUACGUUCCCGGGUCUUGUACACACCGCCCGUCAAAUCAUGGGAGUCGGAAGUACCCAAAGUCGCUUGGCUAACUUUUAGAGGCCGGUGCCUAAGGUAAAAUCGAUGACUGGGAUUAAGUCGUAACAAGGUAGCCGUAGGAGAACCUGCGGCUGGAUCACCUCCUUUCUAAGGA